rnacentral:rRNA from 1 species
GACGAACGCUGGCGGCGUGCUUAACACAUGCAAGUCGAACGGAAAGGCCCUGCUUUUGUGGGGUGCUCGAGUGGCGAACGGGUGAGUAACACGUGAGUAACCUGCCCUUGACUUUGGGAUAACUUCAGGAAACUGGGGCUAAUACCGGAUAUGAGCUCCUGCUGCAUGGUGGGGGUUGGAAAGUUUCGGCGGUUGGGGAUGGACUCGCGGCUUAUCAGCUUGUUGGUGGGGUAGUGGCUUACCAAGGCUUUGACGGGUAGCCGGCCUGAGAGGGUGACCGGCCACAUUGGGACUGAGAUACGGCCCAGACUCCUACGGGAGGCAGCAGUGGGGAAUAUUGCACAAUGGGCGGAAGCAUGAUGCAGCAACGCCGCGUGCGGGAUGACGGCCUUCGGGUUGUAAACCGCUUUCGCCUGUGACGAAGCGUGAGUGACGGUAAUGGGUAAAGAAGCACCGGCUAACUACGUG